rnacentral:rRNA from 1 species
UGAUUAGUGGCGCACGGGUGAGUAAUGCAUAGAUAAUGUGCCCCUUAGUUCGGGAUAGCCACUGGAAACGGUGAUUAAUACCGGAUACUCCUUCUUGUUAUAAGACAAGUCGGGAAAGUUUUUCGCUAAGGGAUCAGUCUAUGUUCCAUCAGCUUGUUGGUGAGGUAAUGGCUCACCAAGGCUAUGACGGAUAUCUGGUUUGUGAGGAUGAUCAGACACACUGGAACUGAGACACGGUCCAGACUCCUACGGGAGGCAGCAGUGAGGAAUAUUGCACAAUGGAGGAAACUCUGAUGCAGCAACGCCGCGUGGAGGAUGACGCAUUUCGGUGUGUAAACUCCUUUUAUUAGGGAAGAUAAUGACGGUACCUAAUGAAUAAGCACCGGCUAACUCCGUGCCAGCAGCCGCGGUAAUACGGAGGGUGCAAGCGUUACUCGGAAUCACUGGGCGUAAAGGGUGCGUAGGCUGGCUUUUAAGUCAGAUGUGAAAUCCAAUGGCUCAACCAUUGAACUGCAUUUGAAACUGAAAGCCUAGAGUUCAGAAGGGGCAGAUGGAAUUAGUGGUGUAGGGGUAAAAUCCGUAGAUAUCACUAGGAAUAUCAAAAGCGAAGGCGAUCUGCUGGGAUGAUA